rnacentral:misc_RNA from 1 species
UUAACUAUUAUAUAGUACUCAGACAGCAAAGAUUCAAGGGUUUGUGUCCUCUGGCCGGCCCGCAAGGGCUAGCCAAAGCAACUGAAGUUUGGUAUACAAAGGGUGAGAAUGGGACCGCAAGGGUCACCGAUUCUUUAAUGAUCCUUCCGCAGGUUCCGUUGAUCCCCUGCAGUUGCCUACAGGGACGGGCUCUAUCUUAAGCCUGGCCAGGAGGCCAAACCCACACUCAUUGAGUCUCUGAACCAGCCCUUGGGGGCCGGCUGCGGAUUACCCUCUAAGAGGGCCUCUCCGCAACAUUGAGCGUGUCGCCUCGGGGAGAGACUAGCAUUUUUGAAAGGAUUGCUUUGGUAGGCUGAACUUUAGCGACCUACGGAAA